CAUGCGCUUUAGAUUGGCUAGAUUUAGUAAACAUUGGCGAAUUCAGAUCUCAUGGUUGUUUUCCUGCUAUUUUCCCUUGGAAUAUUACUUUUGACAUCAACUCUUCUGCACGAAUCGAUUCUUUAUUCCCGUUGAACCUUCAUGAUCAGCUGUUUGACGUAGGUGUUCCGGCGUUUACACUGUUGCAUUUCCAGGGAUAUUUACUUUUAUAUUUUGCCUGGAGUAGGAUGGCUUCCAGACCUAAACGAAGACGAACUAAACCUGCGUCCAAUCCAACCAUUGUUCCUGCUGCCGAACAAGUCACCCCUCAACCAGGUCCAAGCUCCCCCUUGCCUGAUGUUAGUGCCAUAUUUCAGACAUGCAUGGCACAAGUCAUGCCCACUAUAGAGGACACUUUUAAAAAGUGCAUGGAAAAUUAUUUCCAACAAACUCCUUCAUCGACUGACAGCUCUCCAAAUGCCAACCUUUCGCAGUCUCCACCAGCUCCGUCCCUUCUACAAGA